GAUGAACGCUGGCGGCGUGCUUAACACAUGCCAGUCGAACGAAGCACUUAAGAUUGAUUCUUCGGAUGACGUCUUUUGUGACUUAGUGGCGGACGGGUGAGUAACGCGUGGGUAACCUGCCUCACACAGGGGGAUAACAGUUAGAAAUGACUGCUAAUACCGCAUAACCCGAUAGGAUCGCAUGAUCCAGACGGAAAAGAUUUAUCGGUGUGAGAUGGACCCGCGUCUGAUUAGCUAGUUGGUGAGGUAACGGCCCACCAAGGCGACGAUCAGUAGCCGGCCUGAGAGGGGGAACGGCCACAUUGGGACUGAGACACGGCCCAAACUCCUACGGGAGGCAGCAGUGGGGAAUAUUGCACAAUGGGGGAAACCCUGAUGCAGCGACGCCGCGUGAGUGAAGAAGUAUUUCGGUAUGUAAAGCUCUAUCAGCAGGGAAGAAAAUGACGGUACCUGAAGAAGAAGCCCCGGCUAACUACGUG
rnacentral:rRNA from 1 species